rnacentral:lncRNA from 1 species
UCUCCCCCUCUUUCUCUCCUCCAUCAAAACCCUAGCCUCUUGCUUCCUCCUUCCUUCUCCCAUCUCUAAACACCCACAACCUUCAGCCCUCUUCUCCACAAAAAUCUCUUCUCUUGCUCUUGAUCCCUGCUCCAAGACAUUAGAAGAAAGUCCUCAGAGAUCCAGGAUGAAGAUUUCAGCGAAAAGCAUCCCUAUGGCCAGCUAAUCGUCACGUCUCGGGAAAUCUCUGAAGUGCUUGUAACAGACAUUGCUUUUCUUGAUUUAUCUUUUGUACUUUUCUUUUACAUA